CGAGGAAAGUGCAAAAUUGCAAGCUUCCAAAGAUAAAAAAUUAUUAAAAAUAAAAACAAAUAUAAACAGCCGUGACCAGUUAAAAGAUAAAUUAAACACAGUUAAUUUAAAAUUUAAUUCUUCAGGAUCAUCAGGGAAGAAGAAGAAGAAGUAAACUUAGUAAAAAUAUACAAAAGCAAUCAAAUGAUGAUGGAGAAGAUACUAUUACACAACAAUCGGUUUCGAACACAUCACAGGAUAACAGUGAUUCUUCACCUACAAUUAAACAGCCAAAAAAAUUGAAGAGGAAAAAUUCAUUAUCCAUAAAUAAUUUCAAUAAGAAGCUAAGAUUCAAUAACAGCAAAAUCAGCAGCAGUAGCAGCAACUCCAAUCUUAACAAUGACUCGAACUUACUGGAGAUGACAGGAUCACCUCAGCGAGAGCAUUCAUUCUUAUUGUGUGCAACGAUUAAAGAUCCAUUGGAGAUGAGAUCUAUUGACGUCUAUUGAAGGAAAUGCUCCUGUGAUGAUGGAAAUAACGAAGAUUCUGACAACGAGGACAAUGAUAAGCAAGAAAAUAAUGGAGACGCCGCAACACAAGAUACUGCUGAAAAAUGUGAAAAAUUUAAUUACCCCAUUGGUGCUAAAGAUGUUUUCGAAAAUUUCAAUGAACAGCUCGAUACUAAACCUUAUCAUCGAAAGCAAGUGAUGAAACGUAUGCGUGAAUUGGUAAACAAAAGUGAUAGCCUAAAUAAAAAUAUGACGACCAUUAUAAAAGCCUAUAUUUCACGAAAUGUUGCUACCUUGUAUGUUCCGUCUAAAGCAGUUACGGGAAACCAAAGCAAACCAAUAUUUAAAAAUACUUGUUUUUACAAAUGUAUUGAAGGUAAAGUUUUUUCCCGUUGAGAAUGAUUUUAUGAUAAUAAGUUUUCUUUAUUACUAUUAAUGUUUUUUUUAUAAAUGAUGUAUAAAUUAUCGGGAGAUAACCUUUGUGAUAAAGAAAUUUUAUCUUCGAUGACUGCUGUAAUUCGAAACGCGCGGGACUGGGAAGGAC